CAGCUUGCCACCCCAGCAGUGACCACGUUCCCAGCUGUGUAUCGUUCUUGCUUCAGCUGACAAAUGCUUUGAAACCGAUAGGUGUUGUUGCCCUUUGAAGCAAAUGUGCUCAGCAGCCUUGAUCCCUUUGUGGAACCUACAAGACACAUUCUUGCUGCGUAUCAGGACCAGAGCUGGCCUUUACAAGAAAAGCUGAAAGUAGGAUCACUGGACUGAAAAACCUGAAAAGGUAAAAUGCUGCAAUCAAGACGCAG
rnacentral:lncRNA from 1 species